CCUACGGGGGGCAGCAGUGAGGAAUAUUGGUCAAUGGGCGGAAGCCUGAACCAGCCAAGUCGCGUGAGGGAAGAAGGCCCUGCGGGUCGCAGACCUCUUUGGACGGGGAGCAAGGCCGCCGACGUGUCGGCGGAAGGAGAGUACCCGUAGAACAAGCAUCGGCUAACUCCGUGCCAGCAGCCGCGGUAAUACGGAGGAUGCGAGCGUUAUCCGGAUUUAUUGGGUUUAAAGGGAGCGUAGACGGCAAUACAAGUCGGAAGUGAAAUACCCGGGCUCAACCUGGGAACUGCUUUGGAAACUGUAUG
rnacentral:rRNA from 1 species